UACGGAGGGGGCUAGCGUUGUUCGGAUUUACUGGGCGUAAAGGGCGCGUAGGCGGUCAGCACAAGUCAGUUGUGAAAUCUCCGGGCUUAACUCGGAAAGGUCAACUGAUACUGUGCGACUAGAGUGCAGAAGGGGCAACUGGAAUUCUUGGUGUAGCGGUGAAAUGCGUAGAUAUCUGGAGGAACACCGGUGGCGAAGGCGGCAUCCUGGACCGGCAUUGACGCUGAGGCGGCGGAAAAGCCAGGGGAGCAAAGCGGG
rnacentral:rRNA from 1 species